CCUACGGGGGGCUGCAGUGGGGAAUAUUGGACAAUGGGCGCAAGCCUGAUCCAGCAAUGCCGCGUGUGUGAAGAAGGCCUGCGGGUUGUAAAGCACUUUGAGUGGGGAAGAAGUCCUGGGAGUGAAUAGCUUCUGGGAUUGACGUUACCCACAGAACAAGCACCGGCUAACUCCGUGCCAGCAGCCGCGGUAAUACGGAGGGUGCGAGCGUUAAUCGGAAUUACUGGGGGUAGAGCGCGCGUAGGGGGUUGAAAGCCCUGGGCUUAACCUGGGAACUGCAUUGGAUACUGGUUGACUGGAGUGUGGUAGAGGGGUGUGGAAUUUCCGGUGUAGCAGUGAAAUGCGUAGAGAUCGGAAGGAACACCAGUGGCGAAGGCGGCACCCUGGACCAACACUGACGCUGAGGUGCGAAAGCGUGGGGAGCAAACAGGAUUAGAUACCCCAGUAGUC
rnacentral:rRNA from 1 species